rnacentral:rRNA from 1 species
UACGUAGGGUGCAAGCGUUAAUCGGAAUUACUGGGCGUAAAGCGUGCGCAGGCGGUUUUGUAAGUCUGACGUGAAAUCCCCGGGCUCAACCUGGGAAUUGCGUUGGAGACUGCAAGGCUAGAAUCUGGCAGAGGGGGGUAGAAUUCCACGUGUAGCAGUGAAAUGCGUAGAGAUGUGGAGGAACACCGAUGGCGAAGGCAGCCCCCUGGGUCAAGAUUGACGCUCAUGCACGAAAGCGUGGGGAGGAAACAGG